rnacentral:rRNA from 1 species
UCCUACGGGAGGCAGCAGUGGGGAAUUUUCCGCCAUGGGCGAAAGCCUGACGGAGCAAUACCGCGUGAGGGAGGAAGGCUCUUGGGUUGUAAACCUCUUUUCUCAGGGAAGAACAAAAUGACGGUACCUGAGGAAUAAGCAUCGGCUAACUCCGUGCCAGCAGCCGCGGUAAUACGGAGGAUGCAAGCGUUAUCCGGAAUUAUUGGGCGUAAAGCGUCCGCAGGUGGCAGUUCAAGUCUGCUGUCAAAGGUCAGGGCUCAACCCUGAACAGGCAGUGGAAACUGAACAGCUAGAGUGCGGUAGGGGCAGAGGGAAUUCCCAGUGUAGCGGUGAAAUGCGUAGAGAUUGGGAAGAACACCGGUGGCGAAAGCGCUCUGCUAGGCCUGCACUGACACUCAGGGACGAAAGCUAGGGGAGCGAAUGGGAUUAGAUACCCCAGUAGUCCUAGCCGUAAACGAUGGAUACUAGGCGUAGCCUGUAUCGACCCAAGCUGUGCCGUAGCUAACGCGUUAAGUAUCCCGCCUGGGGAGUACGCGCGCAAGCGUGAAACUCAAAUGAAUUGACGG